rnacentral:misc_RNA from 1 species
GAAAAAAAGAUAUCCACCACAAAACAAAAUUGAGUUCGACUGUUGGUGGCAUUGAAAGAAACUGGAACAUGUCUAUUGGCUGAUAGAAGGCACAAAUGGUGCAAAUUUAGGUUAUUCUUUUAAGAUGGGUCAAGCUGAGUUGCCUCAUCAUAUCGAAAGAAAAGGUUUAUGAAUUUUAAACUGCAUUUUCGAACUACUCAAGUGAAAUCUGAAAGGGUCACAAUUUUGAGAAAAAAA